AACCCAGUGAGACCUCAAGGACUGCAGACCCUGAAGUAGAAAAGAGACAUCACAAGUGCACAAGGCAGACCCACUGUUGGCGUGACCAUUCCAUCCACAUUAGUCUCCCAUGAUUACACAGGUGCUGUGGUUUUAAGAUGUGACCCCUCCCCGUACGUGUAGCCUAGACUUAGUGACUCCUCAUGAAUAUAGCGGAAGUGAUGAUGACUUAAGAAAUUGGGUCAUAAAAGGCACCCUGGCUUCCAGCUUGCUCUCUUCUCUCUGAUUACUUACUCUGGGGGAUGUCACUUGCUGCAUGAUGAAGGCCUUUAGCCCUGGGAAGCCCACAAGGUCAGAAACAGACUUCUGUUAACAGCCAGCAAGGAACUGAGAGGCUCCUGCCUGAAGUGAUCUUGGGAGCAGAACUUGCAGGCCCCAGUCCAGCAUUCAGAUGACUGCAGCUCCUGCCAACAUUUGACAGCUGCCUCUAGAACAUUGGGGGAGAUACUGCCUAGAAUUUGAGGAGUCUGCUGACAACCUCAGGGAAUACAGAAUGAGUUAAACUUUUCAGCCACAAACUUUGAGCUCCAGGCAGCAGAGGGCUCAGACCAGAGCAGACCCAGGUUUCCUGAGUCACCAAGACAGGUUAUCCUGGAGGAACACAUGAUGAUGUGCUGCCCUCUACAAAACCAGGCUCGUGAGCUCACUAGUCCAAGAAGGCAGGACUGCAAAAUGGAUACACCGUGGCUCCUAAUUAUCUAGAUGGCCUCAUCUCCUACCAGUCAGCAAAAAUGAUGUACCCUCUGAGAGUAUUCACAUCA